CAGGAGAGAAAUAUGCACAGAUCAAGCAACGUUUACAAAUCCACAACAGUUAUAAACAAAUGCAUUGGUGGAUUUUGACGUGAGAGGACAACAGGGGAUGGGUUUUUUCACUGGCGGAAGCGUUAUUAUGGACUCAUAUUUUUGAU